ACGGAGGGUGCAAGCGUUAUCCGGAAUCACUGGGUUUAAAGGGUGCGUAGGCGGCUUAAUAAGUCAGUGGUGAAAGGCUGUGGCUUAACCAUGGAAUUGCCAUUGAUACUGUUGAGCUUGAAUCAGGUUGAGGUUGGCGGAAUGUGACAUGUAGCGGUGAAAUGCUUAGAUAUGUCAUGGAACACCGAUUGCGAAGGCAGCUGACUGGACCUGUAUUGACGCUGAGGCACGAAAGCGUGGGGAGCGAACAGGAUUAGAUACCCUGGUAGUCCACGCCCUAAACGAUGCUUACUCGUUGUUUGACACGCCGUCGAAAGAUGGCAGUUGAGUGACUUAGCGAAAGCGAUAAGUAAGCCACCUGGGGAGUACGACCGCAAGGUUG
rnacentral:rRNA from 1 species